rnacentral:snRNA from 1 species
GGAGGUGAGGGCGAUCUGGCUGUGAUUGCCAUGGUUGAUUCAGCUAAUCUGGCUGGCUGGGCGGGCGUCCCCUUGCUCCGUCACCGCUCCAAGUGCAUUGCUCCCAAAGCUGCGUGCUUGUUCAAAGAGGACAACCAUCUGAUCUUUGGUCUUUGGUCUUCAGUCAAGGGUCAAGGGUCAAGGGUACAGGAGUAACCGUGCUCCUCUGCUAGAACUUCCAAACAAGCUCUCAUAAUAUAUUAACAUUUUUUAACCGUGCUUUGAUAAUGGACAUUUGCAUCAGAAGCAUAUUAGCAUAUUAAUAAUAGACUUGGCAGUGAUCAAUUAGAAUAU